GAUGAACGCUGGCGGCGUGCCUAAUACAUGCAAGUCGAGCGAACGGACGAGAAGCUUGCUUCUCUGAUGUUAGCGGCGGACGGGUGAGUAACACGUGGAUAACCUACCUAUAAGACUGGGAUAACUUCGGGAAACCGGAUCUAAUACCGGAUAAUAUUUUGAACCGCAUGGUUCAAAAGUGAAAGACGGUCUUGCUGUCACUUAUAGAUGGAUCCGCGCUGCAUUAGCUAGUUGGUAAGGUAACGGCUUACCAAGGCAACGAUGCAUAGCCGACCUGAGAGGGUGAUCGGCCACACUGGAACUGAGACACGGACAAGACUCCUACGGGAGGCAGCAGUAGGGAAUAUUACGCAAUGGGCGAAAGCAUGACGGAGCAACGCCGCGUGAGUGAUGAAGGUCUUCGGAUCGUAAAACUCUGUUAUUAGGGAAGAACAUAUGUGUAAGUAAAUGUGCACAGCUUGACGGUACCUAAUCAGAAAGCCACGGCUAACUACGUG
rnacentral:rRNA from 1 species